UUGUUUUAGGAAAAGCUAAGAUAAUGCCAAAUUGUUUCGAUCCGUGAACAGCAGCGUGCAUGGAGUUACUGGCAUGGUAAAAUGUUUGCAAGGCCAAGGAGUCCAAUCCCGCCUGCCAACCGAUCGUCAAACGCCGGACCGACGACCACCAGCCUCAGACCACCGAAACCUACGUCGACGGCGUUGAGGAGAUAAUCGACGCCACUUCCACCACCGCCUAGGCCAUUCGCUAAGGAAUCCUCGAAAGGGGUCAGAUUAUCGAGACGGAACAAACUUUCCGUGCGGCUGGCGAGCCAUGGCCGGUCCUCAUCCCGAACGCCGAGCUCCACCAAACUGCCCCGGCACUAAGUUAUUCUCCAAGUCCGCACUUGUCUUCCCUUGUCUAAAGAUUUUGAGAUAAUAUCGGGAGAGAAGUUGGGAUCAGGCCACCAUUUUGCUGCCCAUGUCCGCUGUGGAGGCAGAGCCUAUCCACUUCAUUCUGCUAUCUUUUGUGAGGUUAUUUUGAUCUGGACUCUGUAUGUGAACACCAGCAUGUGAUCCGUUCUAUGAUUGUGCAUAUACUGAGGCCGCUCCCCCGCUUAGAUCCUAGCUGUAAAUAAUUGAGCAAGGGAAGAGAUAGAGACAUGGCAUUUGAGUUGAGGUACUUUAGUUUGAACUGCACUGUUGUCAGAAUUGGGCUGACUCGAACCAGACUUUUUUGUUUCAUAUAGAGUCCGAUUCGAGAGUUAUUCUCCAAGUCCGCACUUGUCUUCCCUUGUCUAAAGAUUUUGAGAUAAUAUCGGGAGAGAAGUUGGGAUCAGGCCACCAUUUUGCUGCCCAUGUCCGCUGUGGAGGCAGAGCCUAUCCACUUCAUUCUGCUAUCUUUUGUGAGGUUAUUUUGAUCUGGACUCUGUAUGUGAACACCAGCAUGUGAUCCGUUCUAUGAUUGUGCAUAUACUGAGGCCGCUCCCCCGCUUAGAUCCUAGCUGUAAAUAAUUGAGCAAGGGAAGAGAUAGAGACAUGGCGUUUGAGUUGAGGUACUUUAGUUUGAACUGCACUGUUGUCAGAAUUGGGCUGACUCGAACCAGACUUUUUUGUUUCAUAUAGAGUCCGAUUCGAGAGGUCAAUGUAAAAGAGAGAAGGGAAUGGUGUUCGUCAAUUACCAUGAUGGAGAGCGGGGAGGCGUACAUGCAGAUGGAGAAGAUGGUGGCGGCGAAGCCGCAGAAGAUUUUCCGGUGCUGGCCGUGCAGCGCCAGCAGG